UACGUAGGGGGCAAGCGUUGUCCGGAGUUACUGGGCGUAAAGCGCACGCAGGCGGUCGCUUAAGUUUGGAGUGACAGUUGGUGGCUUAACUGCCAAAGUGCUUCGAAAACUGAUCGACUUGAGGGCUUCAGAGGGACACGGAAUUCCGGGUAGAGUGGUGAAAUGCGUAGAGAUCCGGAGGAACACCGAAGGCGAAGGCAGUGUCCUGGGGAGUACCUGACGCUCAGGUGCGAAAGCGUGGGGAGCAAACAGG
rnacentral:rRNA from 1 species